rnacentral:rRNA from 1 species
UACGAAGGGGGCUAGCGUUGCUCGGAAUCACUGGGCGUAAAGCGCACGUAGGCGGAUUGCUAAGUCAGGGGUGAAAUCCUGGAGCUCAACUCCAGAACUGCCUUUGAUACUGGCGAUCUCGAGUCCGGGAGAGGUGGGUGGAACUGCGAGUGUAGAGGUGAAAUUCGUAGAUAUUCGGAGGAACACCAGUGGCGAAGGCGGCUCACUGGUCCAUUACUGACGCUGAGGUGCGAAAGCGUGGGGAGCAAACAGG